UUUGUCAGCAAGACAUUGUCAAUUAGAACUAUAUGUAUGUAGAAUUGUGGAGCAUGCGCCAACACUAAUUACCCGCGGAAAGUUGCUCGAACUCGUUCGCCGGUGAGGACAAAGUUGUUUGUAGUUUUAUACUCCGCGUCGGUUCCUGCAUACCUAGUUCAUUGAAAAUUCCUCGGCUUGAUUCGAUCAUAAUAUUUUGUACGGGUAUUAUGGGAUCAAUCAGUUCAAAUCAUUUUCAUUCAUCUUUAAUUGAGGCCAUACGUACCAGAAGGGCGCGAGUGCAAGAAACUGAUUAUGGGAGAACGACAUGGACCGAGAGAAUCGUUGGAGAGAUGACCGGUUCCGGAUCCUUUAUUUUAGAACUUUUUGACGAGAGAGCAACAGGGUGUACAUCGAAAUUUCACCAGUAGUCAUUGCUUUUGAAAAAUGAGGAGUAUUUAAAAAUUGAAUGCAAUGAAUGUUUCGUAAGCGAAAAAUGUCUAAAAUCUAAUCCGAGAUUGCGCUCCAGCUUUUCUGUUCGAUUUGUAAUUAUGUUUUACACUCUUUUACACGCGUCCACUCGAGUCAGAUUUCAGUUGAACAUGACAGGUAAAUGAAAUUUUAUAUCUUAGAAGUAUAA